ACCUGAAACUGAUUUGCCUUGGUGAUCUUUUCUGAGUGUUUCUUCGUGGAUUUUUAUUCUGUCUGUGACCUGGAUUGUUUAUGGGACUGUGAUUCUCUGCCACCUGCCUUGACUAAGAUCUGGAUUUUGAUUCUGUUUGUUCUCUGCUUGCUCCUAUCAGUUUCUGUGAUAAAUAAACUGCACAUGGAUCCUUACUCAGCAGACUCAUCAUUACAAAACCCAAGACAACUGUGAAACACACAAACACACAUCCUCACUCACACAUGCUAAGUGGAGUCACACGGCAGAGUAUUUUUCAUCUCAGUCAUUAUAGACUGUCUCUACAUUAUAGACAUUUCUAUUUUUCUGAACUGCGGAAGAAAAUGUUUUAUUCAUUUAUGUUUUGCUGUUUGUGCCUGGCUGCGUUUGGUGAUUCAGAUACAGUGAAGAUGGUGAAGGAGGGAGAUUCAGUGACUCUAGAAUCUGGUGUUACUGAAUUACAGACAGAUUGUGUGAUGACAUGGACAUUUGAACGUCCAGAGAUUCUUAUAGCUAAAAUCAAUAAAGAGGCUGAAACCUUCAACAUAUACAAUAAUGUUCUUGAUGGACGAUUCAGAGACAGAUUGAAGCUGGAUCAUCAGACUGGAUCUCUGACCAUCACAAACACCAGAACCACAGACUCUGGACUUUAUCAAUUAACCAUCAGCAGCGACAAAGAAAAAAAAAUACAGAUUUACUGUUACUGCCUAUGCUCAUCUGCCUGUUCCUGUCAUUAUCAGACACUCUUUACAAUUUUCCUCAUCAUCAUUAGGAUUAUCAGUGUCCAAUUGUUCAUUGCUGUGUUCAGUGGUGAAUGUGGGUAAUGUGACUCUCUCCUGGUACAAAGGAAACAGUUUAUUGUCCAGCAUCAGUGUGUCUGAUCUCAGCAUCAGUCUCUCUCUACCUCUGGAGGUGGAAUAUCAGGAUAAAAACACCUACAGCUGUGUGAUCAACAAUCCCAUCAGCAACCAGACCAGACAACUGGACAUCAGUGAACUCUGUCACACAUAUUCAGCUCAUCUGCCUGUUCCUGUCAUUUUCAGAGACUCUUCACAAUUUUCCUCAUCAUCAUUAGGAUUAUCAGUGUCCAGUUGUUCAUUGUUGUGUUCAGUGGUGAAUGUGAGUGAUGUGA